ACGGAGGAUGCAAGCGUUAUCCGGAUUUAUUGGGUUUAAAGGGUGCGUAGGCGGCUGAUUAAGUCAGGGGUGAAAUCCUGCAGCUUAACUUCAGAACUGCCAUUGAUACUGGUCGGCUUGAGUCUAGUUAAGGUGAGCGGAAUGCGUAGUGUAGCGGUGAAAUGCUUAGAUAUCACACAGAACACCAGAGGCGUAGGCAGGUCACUAAGCUAUCACUGACGCUGAGGCACGAAAGCGUGGGGAUCAAACAG
rnacentral:rRNA from 1 species